GGUACUUCUUGUGUCUGCUGCCACUCCGUGCCGCUAUUGCAGGGACAGAGCCGAGGGCUUGCGAGCCAUGGAGUGGCCCGAGCCUCCUCAACACGGCCUCUUUCAAGCCUGGCGUCCAGUUGGUGAAAUGACCCACAGGAGGCACAGGAGAGCCCCCAGGGGGAUAUUUCCAGGCUAUGCGAUCAGCCUGGUCACUGGUUCUUAGAUACGCUGCAGCCCGGCCUGGGCCUGUUUAUCUCGUGAGCUUCAGAAGGCAAGCCGCCCCCGCCCGCCAUGGCUCCUUCCCCGUGUGAUUACAUCUUUCCUUGAUCCCACUGACAGAGCAUUGCUGUUGAGUUGGUGUGGAUGCUGCUGAAUGCUGUCACCUUCUGUAUUCAUCUUGGGGAGCAGAACCCAGCCUGUGGGGGCCUCCUGCACAGACCGCCCUUUGAAUGGUGUUCUGAGCCUUCAGUGACGCUGGCAGCGAUGAUGCAUUACAAAACCAAACAAAUUAGUCCUCGGGACAGACGACCCGGGGGCAGAUCAACGACCACAACAGAAAAGACAAGCUUUCAAACCAACGAGAGAAGACAAGAUUGUAAUGCCUUCCUAACAACCUUGCUUUAUUGAUGCAAUGCAAGGAAAACUACAUUAGAUUCUAUUGAUUCUCUUUGAGAUCUAAUAAUAUGCUCUAUUCAGAUCUUAUUCACAUACACUUCCUCCACAGUCUUUCUCAGGAGCUGAAAUUGGCCAGUUACAAACAGAAUUUGUUCUCCUGUCCUUUGAAAUCACAGAAGCGGACGUGUUUUCGAACACAAAAGAUACGAAGCUUUCUUUGGGAAACAAAGCAUAGUGGGGAAAAAUAUCUCCCCUCCAAACAAAAUUGAAAGCAUGCCUUACUUCAGAUUUAUUUGAUUACAGAAUCUUCCUCGGGGCUAAUCAGUUUUCGAACCCAUUUCUAUUGGCACCAGUGAGCUAAUAAAAAACCCAGAAGGAGAGAAGUAUCACAACAACUCAGAGAAACUAGGUUGUUCAUUUAAAAAAAAAAAAAAAAAA